UUAAAUGGAGGUCCAGGAACAGUAGGAAGAGCAAGGAUACCAAAUUCCUACAAAAGCAUUAGGUAAAGGAAUAAAGAAAGGCAUAAUUGAACAGAAGUGAGAUCUUGAGCAUCAAUUUCACAGCAGCAGGUAGAGUCCAGUU